rnacentral:rRNA from 1 species
UACGUAGGGUGCGAGCGUUGUCCGGAAUUAUUGGGCGUAAAGGGCUCGUAGGCGGUCUGUCGCGUCGGGAGUGAAAAACUCAGGGCUUAACCCUGAGCCUGCUUCCGAUACGGGCAGACUAGAGGUAUGCAGGGGAGAACGGAAUUCCUGGUGUAGCGGUGGAAUGCGCAGAUAUCAGGAGGAACACCGGUGGCGAAGGCAAUCCCCUGGGCCUGCACUGACGCUCAUGCACGAAAGCGUGGGGAGCAAACAGG